AGAAGGUGUCACAUCACCUUGAACUUGAGUUGCUUGUGUUGUGAGCCUCCAUGUAGGUGUUGGAAACUGAACCCAGGUCCUCGACAAGAUCAGUAAGUGCUCUUUCUGCUGAGGCAUUUCUUUUGCCCCAACCUGUUUAAUAUAUGCAGAUAACUCUUAAGUUCCUUUUUCCUACCACCCUACAUAUGUUUCAAAACACUUCAAUAGUUUUUACUGCUUCACCAACUGUUGUGACACUCUAGCUAAGUAGAAGUCGCGUUUCUUUUCCUUUUCAUUGUUUUGAUCAUUUCUAGCAUCUCAUAACUAGUUUCCAAAGUUUUAGUUUAGGAUUUGGUUCCAUUUUGGGAGACAAAGUUUUCUGGAAAUUCCAUGAUAGCAGAAUUCCUGGGGAACUUAUUUUUUUUAAAAGAUUUAUUUAUUUAUUUUAUGUAUAUGAGAACACCAUUGCUCUCUUUAGACACACCAGAGGAGGGCAUCAGACCACAUUACAGAUGGCUGUGAGCCACCAUGUGGUUGCUCGGAAUUGAACUCAGGACCUCUGGAAGAACAGUCAGUGCUCUUAACUGCUGAGCCAUAUCUCUCCAGCCCUAGGGAGCUUAUUUUUAAAUACAAAGUCUUGAGCCACAAUCCCUCCGUGCCAAUGAAUAUUUUCAUCUUUUUUGUUUUUUCUCAUUGUGUCUUCCCUGUCUAGUACCAUUGUAGUUAUAGAUACCUGCAUUUUUGGAAGAGGUUUUCCAUAUUAUGUUUCUGUUCUUUUUAAGAUUUAUUUACUUAUUUCAUGUAUGUGAGUACACUGUAGCAGUUUUCAGACACACCAGAAGAGGGCAUUGGAUCCCAUUACAGAUGGUUGUGAGCCACCAGGUGGUUGCUGGGAAUUGAACUCAGGACCUCUGGAAGAACAGUCAGUGCUCUUAACUGCUGAGCCAUAUCUCUCCAGCCCUAGGGAGCUUAUUUUUAAAUACAAAGUCUUGAGCCACAAUCCCUCCGUGCCAAUGAAUAUUUUCAUCUUUUUUGUUUUUUUCUCAUUGUGUCUUCCCUGUCUAGUACCAUUGUAGUUAUAGAUACCUGCAUUUUUGGAAGAGGUUUUCCAAAUUAUGUUUCUGUUCUUUUUAAGAUUUAUUUACUUAUUUCAUGUAUGUGAGUACACUGUAGCAGUUUUCAGACACACCAGAAGAGGGCAUUGGAUCCCAUUACAGAUGGUUGUGAGCCACCAGGUGGUUGCUGGGAAUUGAACUCAGGAUCUCUGGAAGGACAGUUGGUGUUUUUAACCUCUGAGCCAUCCCUCCAGCCCUAUGUUUCUGUUUAAUAUUGAAGAAGUGGUGAUGUACUAUGGAUAUGGUAUAAAAUUUGAAAAUGCAAAUGUUGAAAAAGUAGUAGGAAUCUGGCUUUAUUAAUAAAAUGAUAAUAAUCUUUAAUCUUUUUCACUGCAAAUUAUGAAUAGAGGGAAAAUUUAUCUAUUUAACAAAUAUCACCUAUUAGAAAGGCAAAAUAAAAAAAUCUUUACAGCUAAUAGAGUAAUAAUUGUGAGAAGCUCAAUGUUUUCUCUCUAAGACUGGAAUAAUGCAAAACUGUCUGUUGCUUAUGGUUAUUAUUAUACACAUUAUAGGUUAAGGAGCCUUCACCUGAAAAACCUAAAAUCCACAGUGAUCUGAAAUCAGAAGCAACUUGAGUAGCAACAUAGUACUUUCAACAAAUAUCGGAACGUUUACCAGCUGUCUUAGUCAGGGUUUCUAUUCCUGCACAAACAUCAUGACCAAGAAGCACUUGGGGAGGAAAGGGUUUAUUCAGCUUACACUUCCACAUUGUCAUUCAUCAUCAAAGGAAGUCAGGACUGGAACUCAAGCAGGUCAGGAAGCAGGAGCUGAUGCAGAGGCCAUGGAGGGAUGUUCUUUACUGGCUUGCUUCCCUGGCUUGCUCAGCCUGCUCUCUUAUAGAACCAAGACUACCAGCCCAGGGAUGGCACCACCCACAAGGGAACCUCCCCGAUUGAUCACUAAUUGAGAAAAUGCCUUGCAUCUGGAUCUCGUGGAGGCAUUUUCCCAACUGAAGCUCCUUUCUCUGUGAUAACUCCAGCCUGUGUCAAGUUGACACAAAACCAGCCAGUACACCAGCAUAAUAAAUCAAGAAAAGGAAAAAAGUGUAGAGAUUAGAGAAUAAAUAAAACUAUCUUUUAUAGGACAUAAAUAUACCAAAACCCCACGGAAUCUACCAAAAUAUAUGUAAAAAUUGACUAGAUUUAGCAAGGCAAGAACAGAAACUGCUAAAGGAGUAUCAAGUUGAAAGGUCUUGUUCCCCAAAUAUAGUAAUACAUAAAAUAAUAAAAUGGCUCAGCAGAUAAUAGCACUAACUGUCCUUCCAGAGGUCCUGAGUUCAAUUCAUAGCAACAACGUGUUGGCUCAGGAUCAUCUAUAAAGUGAUCUAAUGCCGUCUUCUUGCAGGCAGGUGUACAUGUAGACAGUUUACUCAUUUCUUUUUUUACUGUUUUUGUUUUCUUUGUAUGUUUUUGUUGACGAUUCUGUGUACAUUUCUCCAGUAUCUUCAGAUCAUAUUUGGAAAUGAAAAAGAAUAUUCAUAGAAGUCACAAAUGUUACUUCUUAUGUUGUUUCUAAAUUAUUUACCAUUUCUGUCUACCUUUUAGAAGCUGUUUGUUCUUGCUGUGUUAUGUCACUCCCUACCCUACCUUGGUGUCUUUUUGAACUCAGUUAUUUCUGUUUUCUAUUCUCUCUUUUUUUUGAGAUUUAUUUUUAAUUUAUGUGUGAACCCACACUAUCAUGUAAAUGCUGGGAACUAAACCUGGGUCCUCUGGAAGUGUUUUUACUGUCUCCGUCCCUUUGUCUUUUUUCUUCUCUCUUUCUUUUUUAUCUUCUACCACCUUUUUCUUUGUGUUUUGAUUUUUCAAGACAGGGUUUCUCUGUAUAUACAGCACUGGCUGUCCUGGAACUUGCUAUGUAGAUCAGGCUAGCCUCCAGAGAUAUGCCUGCCUCUGCCUCCUGAGUUCUGGAAUUAAAGGCAUGCACCACCACACCCAGCUGUGAACAUGAACUUUGAAGUCAGAUAGACUGGGUCUAACUUGUAAUCACUAAUAUUCUGUUUCUUCAUAUAUAAAAUGAAAACACAAAAAUUAUUAAUAUGUAGGUGAAAGGUUUUGUGCACAUUAUACAAUAUAUUUAUGUGCUUUUUGUAUAAUAUUAUACAGGACAAUUAUUUCUUAUCUGGAGUACUUGUGAUCAGAAAUGAUUUGAAUUUUGUGUUUCUUUUUCAGAUUUGGACCACUUUCAUUUACAUGAAGAAAUAUCUUAGGGGUGAGAUCCGUAUCUAUAAUUGUGCUUCUUACACAUUUCACCCUACAUUAAAUUUUAACUUGAGGAUAAUUUAUAUAGUAUUUUUGGCAACCUUAUUUUGAUGAUGAUUCUUAACAGUCACAUGUAGAAUUUUGAAUCUCUGUGUCAUGGCAGUGUUCAAAAAGUUUUCAAUUUUAGUGACUUUGGGACUUUGAGAUUUGAGUACCUGCUGCUAUGUGAUCUAUUUUCAUUGUGCCAGUCUUAGGCUAAAUCCUGUAUAAACAUAAUCUCAUUUUCAUUUUCACAACCACUUGAGAUAUCUUUGACUCAUUUAAAAGUGAAACUCAAGAAACGUUUUUGUUCAAUCACACCUAAAUUUUGGCAGAGCUAAAAUUUUAAUUUGUAUUAAUCUUAAUUCAAAUCUCACAUACUUUCUCAUAUUUCUCUUGUCUACUGUACAGUAUCCAGUAGGUUGAACUGUACUUUGACACUACCAUAAAAUGUUUAGUUGC
rnacentral:lncRNA from 1 species